ensembl:snoRNA
AAGCUACACUCUGUGUCAGAAGUUGAAAACAACAAUGAUCUGGCUCAAUUUAAGCUUGCUACAGAAAACUACAGUCUGACCUAUUCCAGCAUUCUCUGAUCACUGGGAUUUGCUGUUAUGUGGACUGUCACAUA